CGCGGGGUGGAGCAGUUCGGUAGCUCGUCGGGCUCAUAACCCGAAGGUCGCAGGUUCAAAUCCUGCCCCCCGCAACCA
rnacentral:tRNA from 1 species